ACACAACUUGGGGCCCCUCUCCUCCCCAGCCCUUCUCCUGUGUGCCUGCCUCCUGCCGCCGCCACCAUGACCACGACCAUCUGCCAGUUCACCUCCUCCAGCUCCAUCAAGUGCUCCUCCGGCCCGGGGGGCGGCUCGUCCCGCACCUCCUGCCGGCUGUCUGGCGGCCUGGGUGCCGGCUCCUGCAGGCUGGGAUCUGCUGGUGGCCUGGGCAGCGCCCUCGGGGCAGCAGCUACUCCAGCUGCUACAGCUUUGGCUCUGGCGGUGGCUAUGGCAGCAGCUUUGGGGGCGUUGAUGGGCUGCUGGCCGGAGGUGAGAAGGCCACCAUGCAGAACCUCAAUGACCGCCUGGCCUCCUACCUGGACAAGGUGCGCGCCCUGGAGGAGGCCAACACUGAGCUGGAGGUGAAGAUCCGUGACUGGUACCAGAGGCAGGCCCCGGGGCCCACCCGUGCCUACAGCCAGUACUACAGGACAAUGGAGGAGCUGCAGAACAAGAUCCUCACAGCCACCGUGGACAAUGCCUACAUCCUGCUACAGAUUGACAAUGCCCAUCUGGCUGCUGCUGACUUCCGCACCAAGUGAGUCCUAGCUGUGGGCUUGGGCAGCCUGGGCCAGCUGGGGGAGGAUCUCAGGGUACCCCUCCUGACCCCAGGAC
rnacentral:sRNA from 1 species